GAGAAGUUAUAUUGAGGGUAUUCCAUACCUCAAAGAAAUGAUGACAGUGGAUGAUUUUAUUCUUGAAAGGAGUAGUGACUGAUGCAGGCAGCCAUGUACAAAGAGACCUGAUGCCUCCAGGUGUUAAAAUUAUUAUCAACCAAUUUAUCUGCAAUUGAUGAUAUGCCUUUUUUGGAUGAAGAUGAGUCUGAGAGUGUGAUGGACAUGAUGAUGAAGAAAAGAAGGAUCAAAUUUGAUUGAAACGGAAGGCAGAAAAGAGAAAAAAAAAUUGGAAAGGAUCAAGGAACAAGAGUGAUGAUCUUCAGACUCUUGGUACGCAUGACAACAAACCAGAUAUGAACUAUAUUCAACAAUGAAAUGAAUUCAGUUCAGAGAGCUUCAAGCACAGCAGAAGAAUGAAAUAGAGAAAGAAAAUUGGAGAAAACAUGCAUUGCAAGAAAGUGAAUGAAUUAGAGAAAUUAUGAUUUCAUUCACUGAUCACACGAUACACUGAUAUCCUAUAUAUACAGAGAGUAAUGCUCACUGCAAUUGAGCCUAAUGCAGUCCAAUUACAGGUAGCAAAACAGAUUUAGACUAAGUCAACUUUAGUUAUAAAAAACUCUAUAACUAACUUAACUAACUUACUCACUUAUAGAUCCUGAUAAUGAAGCAACAGCAAUUUUAAUUUUA